rnacentral:rRNA from 1 species
GACGAACGCAGGCGGCGUGCUUAACACAUGCAAGUCGAACGAUGAAGCCGGAGCUUGCUCUGGUGAAUUAGUGGCGAACGGGUGAGUAACACGUGAGUAACCUGCCCUUGACUCUGGGAUAACUGCGGGAAACUGUAGCUAAUACCGGAUACGACCCUCGGAGGCAUCUCCUGGGGGUGGAAAGAAUUUCGGUCAAGGAUGGGCUCGCGGCCUAUCAGCUAGUUGGUGAGGUAAAGGCUCACCAAGGCGACGACGGGUAGCCGGCCUGAGAGGGUGACCGGCCACACUGGGACUGAGACACGGCCCAGACUCCUACGGGAGGCAGCAGUGGGGAAUAUUGCACAAUGGGCGCAAGCCUGAUGCAGCAACGCCGCGUGAGGGAUGACGGCCUUCGGGUUGUAAACCUCUUUUAGCAGGGAAGAAGCGAAAGUGACGGUACCUGCAGAAAAAGCACCGGCUAACUACGUGCCAGCAGCCGCCGUAA